rnacentral:lncRNA from 1 species
GUAUCUAUACCUAUCGGAAGAUCAGGUUAGUGCUACAUCAUACUAGAACUCGUAUCUUGUAAUCCUACUAGGACUCCUACCUUAUAACAGACUAGUUAUCCCACCCCCUAUAGUAUAUAAAGGAGGGUAGGGGUACCUAGAUCAGCAUAACCACCUCAACUAGAGAAACAACACCCAAGAGCAGGGCGCGAUAUACAACACAUCAAACAGGAUGUAACAUAUUACGCUACACUAGUGGUCUGAACCUAUAUAAAUCUAUGUCUUGUGUCCUCGCAUUUACCAUCAAGUUUCAGAUUCGGCAAUUCCCCACCAACCAAUCUACCAUCUCAGGAUACCCCUCAGUAGGUUGCAGAGUAUAAAACAUGGACAAUGAAGACCUUAGUACAGGGUCACCCGAUACUAAUAGGCCUCCAGGACCCCCCC